UACGAAGGGGGGCUAGCGUUGUUCGGAAUCACUGGGCGUAAAGGGCGCGUAGGCGGCUAUUCAAGUCGGGGGUGAAAGCCUGUGGCUCAACCACAGAAUUGCCUCGAUACUGUUUGGCUUGAGACCGGAAGAGGACAGCGGAACUGCGAGUGUAGCGGUGAAAUGCGUAGAUAUCGGGAGGAACACCAGUGGCGAAGGCGAUCACCUGGGGUUGUUCUGACGCUGAGGAGCGAAAGCUAGGGGAGCAAACGGG
rnacentral:rRNA from 1 species